UACGAGGGGGGCGAGCGUUGUUCGGAAUUAUUGGGCGUAAAGCGCGCGUAGGUGGCUUCGUAAGUCCGUUGUGAAAGUCAAAGGCUCAACCUUUGAAUGCCGAUGGAUACUGCGAAGCUAGAGUACGGAAGAGGCGAGUGGAAUUCCUGGUGUAGCGGUGGAAUGCGCAGAUAUCAGGAGGAACACCAAUAGCGAAGGCAGCUCGCUGGGACGUUACUGACACUAAGGCGCGAAAGCGUGGGGAGCGAACAGG
rnacentral:rRNA from 1 species